rnacentral:misc_RNA from 1 species
UGCCGGCGACCAUUAGAGAUCGAACAAGCCGCGGAAAUUAGGAGGACUACGAGAUCGUCAACUCGGAGGCGAGUUUGUUUUCCAACCGAUCAUUCUGGCUGAAUACACCUUAAGAUUCCGAAGGAGUCGUCGGCGUUUCCCUCGUGUUCAGAGGUCGGCAAUUACACGGCGGACAGGUUACGGGGAAAGAGUUAUGGCGUUCGAACGAGCCACGGUGUCUUAUGGCGGAGAUAGCGGGACGAUUAAGGCAAUUACUCCACCAGUCAUCCUUUUGCACGGAAAGAAAGAAAAAGAACAAGGGAGCCA